UGUGUUGUGGCUCAGUGGUAGAGUGCUUGCUUGCCAGGCAUGUGUGAGGCAUUGGGUUCAAUUCUCAGUACCGCAU
rnacentral:tRNA from 1 species